AUUGAACGCUGGCGGCAUGCCUUACACAUGCAAGUCGAACGGUAACGCGGGGCAACCUGGCGACGAGUGGCGAACGGGUGAGUAAAGCAUCGGAACGUGCCCAGUAGUGGGGGAUAGCCCGGCGAAAGCCGGAUUAAUACCGCAUACGACCUAAGGGUGAAAGGGGGGGAUCGCAAGACCUCUCGCUAUUGGAGCGGCCGAUGUCAGAUUAGCUAGUUGGUGGGGUAAAGGCCUACCAAGGCGACGAUCUGUAGCUGGUCUGAGAGGACGACCAGCCACACUGGGACUGAGACACGGCCCAGACUCCUACGGGAGGCAGCAGUGGGGAAUUUUGGACAAUGGGCGCAAGCCUGAUCCAGCAAUGCCGCGUGCAGGAAGAAGGCCUUCGGGUUGUAAACUGCUUUUGUACGGAGCGAAAAGGCUCCCUCUAAUACAGGGGGCUCAUGACGGUACCGUAAGAAUAAGCACCGGCUAACUACGUGCCAGCCGCCGCCGUAACAC
rnacentral:rRNA from 1 species